rnacentral:rRNA from 1 species
CCCUUAGAGUUUGAUCCUGGCUCAGGAUGAACGCUGGCAGUGUGCCUUAGACAUGCAAGUCGAACGGGGCGCCUUGCCUGAUCCCCUUCGGGGGUGAUGGUUUGGUUGCCUAGUGGCGAACGGGUGAGUAACACGUGGGUGACCUGCCCUCGAGUGUGGCAUAACAGGGGGAAACUCCUGCUAAUUCCGCAUGGUCUCGCGACUCUUGUGUCGUGAGUAAAGGCUUCGGCUGCUUGAGGAUGGGCCCGCGGCACAUCAGCUUGUUGGUGGGGUAAUGGCCUACCAAGGCGACGACGUGUAGCCGACCUGAGAGGGUGACCGGCCACAGGGGCACUGAGAUACGGGCCCCACUCCUACGGGAGGCAGCAGUUAGGAAUCUUCCACAAUGGGCGAAAGCCUGAUGGAGCGACACUGCGUGAAGGAUGAAGGCCUUCGGGUCGUAAACUUCUAAAAGAGGGACGAAAGCUGACGGUACCUCUUGAUUAGCACCGGCUAACUCCGUACCAGCAGCCGCGGUAAUACGGAGGGUGCAAGCGUUAUCCGGAUUCACUGGGUUUAAAGGGUGCGUAGGAGGGCAGGUAAGUCAGUGGUGAAAUCUCCGAGCUUAACUUGGAAACUGCCGUUGAUACUAUCUGUCUUGAAUAUCGUGGAGGUGAGCGGAAUAUGUCAUGUAGCGGUGAAAUGCUUAGAUAUGACAUAGAACACC